GAGAAAAUGUCUGGAAAAUCUCAAAGCCAUGUCAGACGCUGACUGGAUUUCACGUUUGAAAAAGUUUGCCAGCACAGGAGUUUGGCCAUCAAAUGAGGGAAACAGGCCAGCUCCUCGACAAAAAAAGUGGCAUGAGAUUUAUCAAAGGAUUGAGAAAUGCCCAUUGCAAUCUCGUGGGCAGAGGACUUUGCUUGGAGGUGUGCUGAAAUGCACAUAUGGUUUUCACACUCAAAAGCAGAGUACUGCUUCUGCUGCUCCAGCACAAACGGUGCAACAACCUGCCCCUACUGUACCUGCUCAGGAGGUGAUGGAGACGAGACAACUUGAGGCCCAGCCCCAGCCCCCGUCUACUCCAUCAGUGGCAUCAAAGAUUUCACCGCAAUUGUCAAUGGUACAUUUUUUAAAAAGUCAAAAGAAAUGACAAUUUCAGUGUUUCAAGUGUUCAAGGUGUUCAAAGUUCAGUUCAAAGUUCAAACAUAGGAGAGAAAAGAACAAAAAGCAAUAAAAAAGUUGAGGUGUUGCUAGAGACCUGCUUCUUUUCACACCUCUUGCACAGUGGGGGAUAGUUUCUAAUUGCUUGAAAUGUAAUGUGAUAUACACUAAUGUUCAAAAAAUUAUUAUUGUUAAAAUAUAAAAGCUUAAUAUUACUCAUAUUUUGCAAGAAUUCUAUUGUGUUUGAUUUGCUCAUAAAUUAAGUAGAUUUUAUUUGAUUUGAAUUGUUUGAAUAAAUUAUUCUUUAUUUAUUUAAUUUGCCUAUAUUAUUAUUUCACAUUAUUCCAGUUUUUACUAAAUAUUUGAUCAAAUAAAUGUAGCCUUGAUAAACAUAAUUAAAACAUAAAAAAAAAUACAUUGAGCAGAUCGCAAACCUUUGAACAGUAGUGUACAUUUUGCCAUUGUGAACACAGUGUUUUUAAUGAAAUGCUUUUUGUCUUGCCCUUUUUGA
ensembl:processed_transcript